AGAAAUGGAUAACAAAUGGUUUUGAACUCGGCAUUCAUGUUGUGUGAUUUUUCUUUCUCUUUUUUUUCGUGCAUCACUUAUACUCUGGGGGUUAAUUUCACUCUUUUGACUCUUUUCCACUCAAUUCUUUGUGAGCAUUUUAUAGUUGUUAGAGUCUUAAGUCUCGGCAAGUGCAUUUUUUCUCUUUUCUUUUUUUUUUCUUUUUGGACAUACACAAAUCUCUUCUUUUUGUAUGAUCUCUUAUUAUGCACUUGCCCUAUCUUUCAAGAUUACCACCCCAAACUUAGCUUUAUGCACAUCUUGUAACUCACAACAAUCAUG
rnacentral:lncRNA from 1 species